rnacentral:tRNA from 1 species
GGUUUACAUAGUUUAUAGAAAAUAUUGAAUUGCAAAUUCAAAGAAACAAUAAUUGUUUAAACUU